rnacentral:lncRNA from 1 species
CCGGCACCUCUGCCCAAGCCGGACGUGACGCCGUCGUUGCCCGCACCGGAGGUGUUGCCGAAACCGGGGCUGCCACCGCUGCCCACACCUGAGGAGCAGCCCAAGCCGGAGCUGUCGCCUUUGCCCGCACCGGACGUGUUGCCAGAGCCGCCGUUGCCCGCACCCGACGUGCUGCCCAAGCCGGAACUGCCCACACCUGACGAGCAGCCCAAGCCGGAGCUGCCGCCGUUGCCCAAACCGGAGGUCCCGCCGACGGUGCCGGAGGUGCCCAAACCUGACGUGGAACCGAAGCCGGAGCUGCCACCCGUGCCCAAGGGUGAGGAGCCGCCGAAGACGGACCUGCCGCCGCUGCCAACAGGUGAGAUCCCACCAAAGCCGGUUCUGCCGCCUUUUCCUACAGGCGAGCUUCCGCCCAAGCCGGAGCCCGAGCUGCUGCCCAAGACAGACGAGCCACCGAAGCCAGAGCUGCCACCACUCCCCACCGGCGAGAUUCCACCGAAGCCGGAGGUCGAGCUGCCACCCAAGACAGAGGAGCCCCCGAAGCCGGAGCUGCCGCCACUUCCGACUGAUGACCUUCCAUCGAAGCCGGACGUCGAGCUGCCACCGAAGCCAGACCUGCCGCCACUCCCUACCGGUGAGCUUCCACCGAAGCCGGCGCAGCCGCCACUGCCGUAUCCUGCGGAGCCAAAACCAUGAUCACUCUCAACCACCGACG